ACUUGCUGAGACCGCACAGAUCCCUCGAGCUGCAGUGUGUACCCAUCCCGAGCUAGUUCUGCCUGGAAAACCCUGCUGGUCCUUCAACCACCCACCUGCCGGGUCCCCGACACAAAUGUUGCUUCCUUUCAGAACUUGCCUCCCUACCUGGAUGCCCUGAGCUCCCACGGUCUCCAGCGGCUGUUGUGCUGUGUUUCCCCCAUCAGACGGCGUUUCCUGGAGGGCAGCCAGCACAGGACAGAGUGGCCCGUCAAGGUGCUGGGAAGCAGUAUGCAGGUCACUGAAUUUGGAAAGUUACGGAUCUGGGGUCACUGCAGCCUGUCCCCUCCCAUGUGGAGCCGGAGUGCGUGAAACCAAGCAGGGACAAGCAGAGGUUCGGGAUGGAUGGACAGUGCUGGUGGCACGGGAUUUAAAGUCUGCUCCCUGCAGAUGAGCAAACGGAGGCAAAAACAGGUAGAGUCAGAGCCUCUCAAGAAGGGUCAAGGCACCAAAGAAGAUGGAUAAAGCAGGCAGUGGCCAAAGGCGACCGACUGGUCUGGUACUUCAGGCCACCCCGGGUCCUGUGCGGCUGCCCCUGACCUGGGAAACCGAUAUCUUGGUCCUCUUGUCACCUCUCUGUGUGCCUGAGGCCACCCGCCUGGCUUGGAACUGGGAAAGCAGGGCUCGCAAACGUAGGGUCUCAGAGCAUCCCCAACUAACCUCGAAGGCACAGAGCCGAGGCCUGUUCCCGAGCCCCGACGGAAGCAGCGCGAGAGCCCAGGACUCUUGGGCCCCUGAGGACUGAGUCCAGCCUGGGCUAUGCCCUGACUGCCUGGGUGACCUUGGCCAGAUCACCUCAGGGAGGGACUCUAUCGAUCGAACAACUCAACAGGUGGUCCCCGGCUCCUCCCCCGGCACUGCCUGCACUCAUUCCCCCGGGCUCCGAUGCCCUCUGGGGCCCCGCCCUGGCUGUUGGGCUCACACAGACGCGCACUUGUGGUUUCUGGGCGGGCCUUGCUUUUCUGGAUAGAAACAAACAGAUGUCCUGUGCUUUCUGCCUUUAAUAGCGUGUGGAGGCCACGUUUCUGAGGCACAUCGCAAAGACUCAUCACAGAGCCCGCCCCGGGCUUCUGGUCAGGAGCAGACAAUGAAACCCAAACCCCAGUGUGUUCCAAGCACUGUUAGGGUGACGUAGCAGGGGGAUAAAAGGUCCGGUAAUCCCCCAUCGGUCCCGGCCGGACCCUGAGGACUCAGGAGGAACCACAGUCACCUGACAUCCCCCUCCUCAGCCUGUACGCAGUGGGAUCCUUUGCUGAACUGGGCUCCUGGGGGUCCGUGACUGUGAACGUGACCAGGUGCUGUCCUUGAGGAAGGCUCUGACCUAGAAUGGAGAAUGGCAGGUUGAGGCUCUGCCCAGCUCCAGGUAAGGCCUCCAGGUGUGGGGCUGGUGGUCCGUCCCUUCUCAGGCGCUGGACCCAGAAAUGGUCUCCUCACCAGCCUCCUUGCCUCUCACCUUCCCUCCUGCCCAUUUGUCCUUCACAGGCAGCCUGAAGCGUUGCUCUGAAGCUCAAAGUGAUCACUUCACUUCUGUUUCAAGCCCUUCUCUGUCUCCCUCGUUCUCUGGGGUGAAGGCCUCGUGCCUCAGCCUGGUGCUCAGGGCCCUUCGCCAUCCUCGCCUGCCCUUCCAGCUUCCUUUCCUGCCACUUUCCACCUCAAACCCCCCAGCCACAAUAUGUCUUCCUGUUCCCAAGAGGCACCAAGGCCUUCACACCUCCAAGCCUUUGCACUCACGGCAACCUGAAUCUGCGAUACCUCAGAAAACUCCUACUCAUCCUUCAACACCCAGCUCAGAUGAUGGCAUUCCCCCGAGAGAUGCCCUAGCCAUCGUCACUCACGCUGGGGUCAGGGUCCUGUGCUUGCCCACACUG